CUUUUCUACUGUUUCAACUGCAUUUAUAUUACCGCACACACCCGUUUUCUUUCUUUUUCUUUUUCCCGCUUGUCUACAUCUUGUAUUUUGACUGCGUGUAUUCAUUUUCUCUGUGUUUUACACAGAUUAUUUAAUCAAUCUCAAACAUCUGCUGAUCAGGAACUAACACAACAACAUCAAACAAUUGCAUGAGGGAUUCACAUCGAUUUUAAACCCUCUCCACUCAAGAACAACCAUAACAACAACAAACAAUUGGCCUCGGAAUUCAUAUCCCGAGGUAACCAGAGCCGGCCAGAUCCACCUCUGUUCCUGCUUGGUGUCAGACUCCACUGCUAUGUGUCUCUGAGUGAUGAUGAAUAAAUGCAGCUAGUGCUAACUAGACAUCACUUCAGUCUAUUACGAUGGACUUCAGGGGAUGAACUGAUCCCAGCUCCAACCAUAAGACAUGGAAUACUUCAUACGUCACUGCCUGAACCUUGGAAUUAGGAUAGACCUCACCGAAAUUACCUGCUGGUUGAACUGUAAUGCACCUCACUUAUCUCUGCCUGCAUCACCUUGGUCUAAUGAUGGACUACACUCUUAAAAUGGAAUACAUAGACUAUCAAUUAACUGCCAACAAAAGCCUUCAUCGGCCAACUAACAAAGGACAAUGCAUGAAUUUGAACUUCUGCAGUUAAUCCAGGCUGAACUUCAAAGACAUUAGACAUUAAUCUUACAGUUCAUACAAAAUCUUUGUUUAAAUACUGGCCCUUAACACUUACUUAGUUUGCUCAUUUUAAACCAUGACCUGCACUGCACAUAAAUAACUAAUAUUGGCUUUAUACUCAUGCUGGUUAGCCAGAGGGGAACUGGCCCCCACAGUGAGCCUGGUUUCUCCCAAGGUUAUUUUUCUCCAUUAACCAACAUCUUAUGGAUUUCUGUGUUCCUUGCCACAGUCACCUCGGCUUGCUCACUGGGGUUCUAAAUGCAAUUAUUAUUUAAUUAUUUAUAUUUAUAGACAAUUUACGAUCAUAUUUAAUCAAACUACACAAUGAUGACUCUAACACUUCAUAGAUAUUACAGUUUCAUUUUCUGUUGCAUGAUUUUCUGUAAAGCUGCUUUGAAACGAUGUGUGUUGUGAAAAGCGCUAUACAAAUAAAAAUUACUUGAUUUGACUACA